CAGUAGCCGCGGUAAUACGAGGGGGGCGAGCGUUGUUCGGAAUUAUUGGGCGUAAAGGGUGCGUAGGCGGUUCGGUAAGUCUUAUGUGAAAUCUUCGGGCUCAACUCGAAGUCUGCAUGAGAAACUGCCGGGCUUGAGUGUGGGAGAGGUGAGUGGAAUUUCCGGUGUAGCGGUGAAAUGCGUAGAUAUCGGAAGGAACACCUGUGGCGAAGGCGGCUCACUGGACCACGACUGACGCUGAUGCACGAAAGCUAGGGGAGCAAACAAGGUUAGAGACCCCAGUAGUCCCUGUUUCUUAUAA
rnacentral:rRNA from 1 species